rnacentral:rRNA from 1 species
GACGAACGCUGGCGGCGUGCCUAAUACAUGCAAGUCGAACGAGUGGCGGACGGGUGAGUAAUAUAUCGGAACGUGCCCAGUAGCGGGGGAUAACUACUCGAAAGAGUGGCUAAUACCGCAUACUAUUGGAGCGGCCGAUAUCGGAUUAGCUAGUUGGUGGGGUAAAGGCUCACCAAGGCAACGAUCCGUAGCUGGUUUGAGAGGACGACCAGCCACACUGGGACUGAGACACGGCCCAGACUCCUACGGGAGGCAGCAGUGGGGAAUAUUGCACAAUGGGCGCAAGCCUGAUGCAGCCAUGCCGCGUGUAUGAAGAAGGCCUUAGGGUUGUAAAGUACUUUCAGCGGGGAGGCGUUACCCGCAGAAGAAGCACCGGCUAACUCCGUGCCAGCCGCCGCGGUAAUUC